GGGGGAGCGCCUCGCACCAACUGCGCUUGGGGCUGUGACGGGCAGAGCCCGCCCGGGCAGAGCCCCCGGGGGUUGGUGCCUCGGCCCGAGGGCAGCACAGGCGGCGCGUCCCCAGCGGAGCGUGAGCCCUGCGCGCUGUGCCCCCCUGCGCGCUGUGCCCCCCUACAGGUCCCUGACAGAGGCUGCCUGCUCUGUGCUGCCUGCUCUGUGCUGCCCUGCGCUGCCUGCCCUGUGCUUCUCUGUGCUGCCCUGCCUGCUCUGUGCUGCCCUACUCUGCUCUCCUCUCUGCACACCAGUUUUCCUGUGAACACCCCAUGCGUUGUCCGCCUGCCUGCGGGACCCCGCGGUACCAGCCCUGCACACGCCGCUGGAGGCCAGCGUCCCAGAGCGCACCAGACCCAGUGUCCAUGGAGCCGGGCUGGUGCGUGCCCUGAGAAGCAGAACCAGGAGAGCGUCUCCCUGCAUUAGCCAGGGGCUGCUUGUCUCACUUCGCCAGUGCUGGCCAGGAGGAGAGGAGACACAAUCGCAUCAGCCCUCUGCUGCUGCCAAAUGCUUCCUGGCUCCGUGAUGCUGGGAUCAGAUGCUGUGGGAAGCGAGUACGUCACAUCCCAUCAGACCAAAUGAUGGUGCAUGGCUCGUGCCAGGCCCUGGCCCCGCUUCUUCCGCACCCAGCACGUUCCUCAAGCCUCUGAAGCAGCUUUGGCCAACGUCAGGAGGUGGGAGCUGGUGGUGAGGGAGGAGCAAGCGAAGCCACCCACAACUUGACACAGUCCAGGCUCACACACAGCUCGUAUUUAAAAAACGGAAAACAAACUAGAAAACUUUUAUUUGACAACAGAAGAACGAACAAAAAGGUAUUUACAGUAGUUUUGUUUUGCUCCGUAAAUCUCAUUCCAACAAUCCCUGCCCUCCCCACGCUUCCUGGUCCAUCUCCAGAUCCACGGCCCAGGCAGAGCUGUAGCACUCCUGCCCUUGGGGAGGAAACCACUUUGGUUUGACUGGGGCAAAAUAACGGGAGGAGACCAAAAAGUCUCUCUGGGGGAGAAAACAGACCUGCGGGGGGGGGCUACCUAGAAAUAAGGGAGGGAGGCCUAAAAUUCAGGAAGGAGGCAGACAGCAAAGGCUGGACAUAAAAUGGAGCUGGGGGAGAGGAGGAAGGGGGUGUUCACAGCCACCCCAUGAGCAUCCUCUGUCCAUGCCAGAGCUGGAGCCAUCCCUGUGCAGCUCAGGGGCACCCGGCCCAUGACACAGCGCUGGGACAAGCCUUCUGCAGCCCCACCAGCACUGGGGAGCUCCUCUCUCCAUCACCUUCUCUCUGAAGAAAAGGGAAGGGCAACACCAGUCGCCAAAACCAGUGCUGCUCCCUUCAAGGCCCCACCAUCCUGCAGGGUGCUGCUCCCCCAGCACCGCUGGCUCUGACCACUGCAGAGCACCAGGUCCUCUGGACGUUAUUAACUCUAAUCAUGCAACUCAACAGUCAGGCUAAUUUCCUAGGAUUAGUGUUUCUGGGGAUAGAUAACAUAGGUGUGUAUCGCUCUUUAACUUCCAUUUUGCAGUGAAACAGCAAUAUCUCAGUGCCAGCACCAGUGCAGCACCCAUGCUGACAGUGAGCAAUGCCCAGGCUGGGGCACAGCCAGCUCCCAGCAGGGACCAGCUUGUCACUAGAGGUCCCCAGCACCGCGCAGCCACCAGCCCUGGAGAGCAAGAGCAGGAGGGAGGGCGCAGGGAGCAACAGGAUUCAUCCCUCCGCUUCCCAGGGCAGUUGGUGGAUGAGGCAGCUCCGUUUGCCAGGAGCCAAGGGCUGCAGGCUGUGAGCGCUGCACUUGCAGGUCACCACACGUGCUCCUGCCCACAAUAUGCCUCUUCCCGCACUAGUUUUUAACCAAAAAAAAAGAGAAAAUCAAGAAGUUGGAUAUAAAGUUUUCACAGUCUCAGCUUCACAUCCACCCCCAGCAGCCGCCUGCAGUCAGCACCGCGCAGGCUCCGCACCACGCUCUCCGUUCCAGGACACAAACAUUGAGCAGGAACUCGAGAGAAACACGGGGGGAGGUUGUGGAAAUGCUUAAGAAACAAAAAAACAGAAUAAAAAAUCAUAUAAUAAA